ACGUCUGCCUCCCAGGCUGAAGCUAUUCUGGUAUGUUUCUAAUCUCCCCUUUCCUCCCUCUCCUUCUUACUGAUGACCUUGAUUCAUGAUUCACAAAAAAAAGAAGCAAACAAGCACUCUCUCAUCUCUCUAGCAUUCUGAAUUGGGACCCAUUCUUUCUAUAGGAGAAAGUGUCUCUGCUCCUAGUUAAGGCUAACCCUUCACUUCUACUCUGGAUCUUACCUCCUUGUAACUUAUGAAGGACUUUACUCCUACAAAUCGACCUUUCUCUCUUGCAUUCUUGAUUUCCCUCUCCAGGGGAUUGUAUUCACCAGCAAAUAAACUUGCUCCUGAUUUCCCAUUCCUGUCUAGCUGCUGAAUGAAUGGUUUUCCCCAUGACAUCACCUGUUCUCUCACCUCAAUCCAUUUCAAUUAGACUUCUGUCCUCCCCACUACAUCUGAAACUUCUAAGAGAUUAGCCAGUGACCUUCAUGUCACCAAAUACAAUGGUCACUUUUC
rnacentral:lncRNA from 1 species